rnacentral:rRNA from 1 species
UACGGAGGGGGCUAGCGUUAUUCGGAAUUAUUGGGCGUAAAGGGCGCGUAGGCGGCCCGGUAAGUCAAAGGUGAAAUCCCUCGGCUCAACUGAGGAACUGCCUUUGAAACUGUCGGGCUUGAGUCCGGGAGGGGGUAGCGGAAUUCCCAGUGUAGCGGUGAAAUGCGUAGAUAUUGGGAGGAACACCGGUGGCGAAGGCGGCUACCUGGACCGGUUCUGACGCUGAGGAGCGAAAGCGUGGGGAGCGAACAGG